CUGAGGAAGUGGCAAGCCAUAUGACACCCACGAUGCCCAUGACCGUGCCUUUUGACCCAGUCAGUUGUGGACGGCAAAGCAGUUGGACUAUUUCCAGUUGUGGCCACGAACGGUGCCAGCGGCGUUGCGUGUGUGGAAGUGUGCUUAUAGGAAAAUGGGAAACACUCAGAAGUAGGGGUACUUGGCCAAAAGGCAGACGCUUCUGGGAUCGGGAUGGACUUGGCCAAAUUUCCUUCUGUUCAGGUUUCGACAAGUGUAAUUCUAAAAUGAGAUUUGAGGGAUCAUGUUUUCCUAUAGCCAUGUUCUUGAAUGUCCCACAGGCUACGUGACUUCGUCCCAAAUUAGAAACUGUCACCCAGCAGGGAACAUUCUUGGCUUAUCUGAUUCUCAGAACCAGCCCUGGCUCCCUAGAGUUGCCAGAGCAGGCUAAUACAGUUACCGUUUAUUCAACAGAAUCACAACCAUGUACUUUAAAAACAAACAAACAAAAACCUCAUACAUACGUGAUCAUUAACACUAAGAACUUACAUGUUCUGUCUUUCCUCACUGCUGAAUAGUUCUCUGUUGAAUUUCCCAACAAUCCAGUGGCUACCGAGCAGGGAUGCUUCCCACUUUUGUUAUUAUGCUGAAGACUGAAUCUAGGGCCCUGUACUUGAGAGGCAGGCAUCUACCGCAGAUUCUACCUCAGAGCUGUUACUCCCAGCUAGCGAGGAGGCUGCACUAGCCAAGGUUUGCAUAAGGUUAUUCGCACUAUGGAAGAUCCCUCUGUCAAAAUACACGCUGGGAUGUGCGGGAAGUAGAGGGAUGGCACCAGGGACAUGCUGUCUUUGUGAUCUCAUUUUUCAAACCCUUCUGGCUAAUGAGGCAGGAGGAGUUAAUUGUCCACAUCCGGUAGUGAAAGUGGUCUUGCUAGAAUAAAGGAAAUGAGCCCAUAGGAAACUACACAUUAGGCAGUGUUGUUGAGUUAAUGGAUGAAGGCUUUCUCUAAGGGAGGUGCUUGGCUCACUGGCGUCUGAAUCGUUGAGACACGUGGGUUCUUAGACGGCACUUGAUAAGGAAGGACUUAUUCCAGUUCUCGACCAGUCUCUGUCACGGUGCUUGGUCUGUUUGGCAUAAUUAUUGACAAAAGCGAAGCCAUGUACUAUGCCACGCAGAUCAGUGCUCUGUAGGAAACAUCUGGCUUCUCUUGCUUUGAUUCCCAGAAAAUCUUCCUCCCUUCUUUCCUUCCUUCUUCCCUUCUUUCCUUCUUUCCCUUCCUUCCUUCCUUCCUUCCUUCCCUCCCUGCCUCCCUCCCUCCUUCCUUCCUUCCUCCCUUCCUCCUCCCUCCCUCCCUCUCUCUCUCCCUCUCUCCCUUCUCCCCACCUCCCUGAACUUAUUUUCUGGUGACAAUUUUUCAAGCGUAGAAAAAGGAGGCAGUAAAAAGUGUGCUAGCCCACACAUGUUCCCCACCAGCUUUAGCCGUUAUCGCCGCUCCCGGGAUGCGGAUGUGGCCCAGGGGUAGAACCCUUGCCUAACAUGCCCAGGGCCCUGGGUUUGAUCCUGAGCACCACAAAAAUAAUGAUACAGUAACUACUACCUCACACCCAAUCUUGUUUCUUCUCUGAUCCCAACCGAUACUCCUCCACCUUCUGGAAACCUCGGGCAGUCCAUUUGCAAUGUUCAAGUACUAACACAUUUCCAGUGCUCCUAGAGUUCUUCCUGCUCUGUGGAGAAGCAGAUAAGGGAGGGAGGAGACUGAGGGCUCUAUAGGGGUGUGGGGGGGGAGCAUGUUUUGGAGGAAGGAUGGCCUAGCUGGUGUAUUACCCUGGGAUGUACCAGUGGGGCGGGGGUACAAUUCAGUCUAAGGUUCUUGUGUGCUUAGCCAUAGGUUCUGUCCUGUCUCUUGCAGGGGGUGUCCCUGUUGAGUUGUGUAAGGGACACACAGGAAGGACCUUCCCUGAGACCAUGCACUGACCUUGGAAGACAGUAACUUUAAUGGGAACCCCUCUGAACAUGAUAGUUUUGGUACAAAUGGGUACUUUGUUACAGUUUGAAUAUCAUCCCAGAUUUUUUCUAGUCCAUCACAAUUCGGCUUCUGAAUUUCACCAGGCUCUUGUCCUGAUUCCUCUACCCUAUUCAACACUUAAAUUCCAAAAAGCCCUCAUCCCUUGAAGUCUUCAUUAACCACCCUGAAUUGGAAGAUUGUUUCUUCCUUCUUUUAAAUGCACAUGUGAGCCUGUAUGUGAGUGCAUGUUAAUCCGUGCGUGCAUGCAUGUGGCAUAUGGAUGCCAGAGGACAAGCUCAGAAGUCAUCUUCAAGAUGACCAUAAGACUUGAAGAAACUGAGCUGAAACAGACCUAGAAGUCUCCCUGGGGACCAGCUUUCAUAGGAUUCAAAGGUGCCGUGCAAGCUACCAACGGGGGAAAAGCGACCUACAGUCCUGUUCAGCUGUGAAGCCUGGGAAGCGCGGCCAUGGGUCACCCCCAAGGGUGCAAUAGUGGCACUCGCAUCUCCAGGGUAACCAACAACUCUCCAACCAGACUUAAGACCAACUCUUAGAAUUCCCAGUCACUCCUCCCGGCUACACGACUCAGUGUGCGUUGGCAAGACGCUUAUUCAUCACAUCCUACAUAGUCCGUGUACUGUGUGAUCACAUAAUCCAUGCGUAUGCGUGUUGUAGCUGCAUAAGCCCAUAUGUGCAUGUGCAGGGGGAACCUAUGAAAACAGAUUCCACCUAUUCCUCCCCUCUCUUCCUGCACAGUCAUUCCAUAGGCCUAAGCACAUCUUUCCUAUUCCC